GUAGUCUCGCACAGAUGCAUAUCAAUAAGCGGAGGAAAAGAAACUAACAAGGAUUCCCUUAGUAACGGCGAGUGAAGCGGGAAGAGCUCAAAUUUGAAAUCUUCAAGGUUUUACCUUGACGAAUUGUAGUUUAAAGAAGUGUUUUCUGUUGAAGUUUUGGUAAAAGUUCUUUGGAAUAGGACAUCAUAGAGGGUGAGAAUCCCGUAUUUGACCAUUAUUUUCAGCUGUGUGAUACACUUUCAAAGAGUCGGAUUGUUUGGGAAUGCAGUCCAAAAUGGGUGGUAAAUUUCAUCUAAAGCUAAAUAUUGGCGAGAGACCGAUAGCGAACAAGUACCGUGAGGGAAAGAUGAAAAGAACUUUGAAAAGAGAGUUAAACAGUACGUGAAAUUGUCAAAAGGGAAGCGUUUGACACCAGUGUUGUUUUCUCGAAAAUCAAUUAAAAAGAGUUAGAUUUUGUUGUGUAUUGACCUUAACAGCUUGCAUUUCAAUUUUCUUGCUUUUUUUAAUGCACUUUUCGUUUAACAAGUCAACAUCAGUUUCUUUUGUUGUAAAAAGGUCAUUGGAAGGUGGCUUUCUUUUCGGAGAAAGUGUUUAUAGCCUUUGAUCUCCUGCAAUCCGGAGAGACUGAGGUCUGCAGCGUAGACUCCUUCGGGGUUAGAUACAUUUGUGCUAGGCUAUAGCUUUUUAUAGACAACUUGUUGACUAUGAUUUAGUCUUGUAGCUUACUCGCUUAUGCUAUUUUACCUACGCUUAGGAUGUUGAGCGCAUGUCUCUCUCU
rnacentral:rRNA from 1 species